UAAUAACUAGCUCAGUUGGUAGAUCAUGAGACUCUUAAUCUCAGGGUCGUGAGUUUGAGCCCCAAGCUGGUUC